rnacentral:rRNA from 1 species
AGUAAUUAUUUUUGUAAAAUUACUUGGUGAAGGGUGGAAUAACAUGUGUACAUAUUGCCCGUCGCUCUCGUUAUUUUUGAGAUAAGUCGUAACAUAGUUGAUGAACUGGAAAGUGUAUCUUUUU